rnacentral:rRNA from 1 species
CAGGCUUAACACAUGCAAGUCGAGGGGCAGCAUGGUCUUAGCUUGCUAAGGCCGAUGGCGACCGGCGCACGGGUGAGUAACGCGUAUCCAACCUGCCUUACACUCUUGGACAGCCUUCUGAAAGGGAGAUUAAUACAAGAUGUUAUCAUGAGUAAGCAUUUUCGCAUGAUUAAAGGUUUACCGGUGUAAGAUGGGGAUGCGUUCCAUUAGAUAGUAGGCGGGGUAACGGCCCACCUAGUCUUCGAUGGAUAGGGGUUCUGAGAGGAAGGUCCCCCACAUUGGAACUGAGACACGGUCCAAACUCCUACGGGAGGCAGCAGUGAGGAAUAUUGGUCAAUGGACGAGAGUCUGAACCAGCCAAGUAGCGUGAAGGAUGAAGGUUCUAUGGAUUGUAAACUUCUUUUAUACGGGAAUAAACGAAUCCACGUGUGGAUUUUUGCAUGUACCGUAUGAAUAAGGAUCGGCUAACUCCGUGCCAGCAGCCGCGGUAAUACGGAGGAUCCGAGCGUUAUCCGGAUUUAUUGGGUUUAAAGGGAGCGUAGAUGGGUUGUUAAGUCAGUUGUGAAAGUUUGCGGCUCAACCGUAAAAUUGCAAUUGAUACUGGCAGUCUUGAGUACAGUUGAGGUAGGCGGAAUUCGUGGUGUAGCGGUGAAAUGCUUAGAUAUCACGAAGAACUCCGAUUGCGAAGGCAGCUUACUAACCUGUAACUGACAUUGAUGCUCGAAAGUGUGGGUAUCAAACAGGAUUAGAUACCCUGGUAGUCCACACGGUAAACGAUGAAUACUCGCUGUAGGCGAUAUACAGUCUGCGGCCAAGCGAAAGCAUUAAGUAUUCCACCUGGGGAGUACGCCGGCAACGGUGAAACUCAAAGGAAUUGACGGGGGCCCGCACAAGCGGAGGAACAUGUGGUUUAAUUCGAUGAUACGCGAGGAACCUUACCCGGGCUUAAAUUGCAACCGAAUAUGGCGGAAACGCUAUAGCUAGCAAUAGCGGUUGUGAAGGUGCUGCAUGGUUGUCGUCAGCUCGUGCCGUGAGGUGUCGGCUUAAGUGCCAUAACGAGCGCAACCCUUGCCGAUAGUUACUAACAGGUCAUGCUGAGGACUCUGUCGGGACUGCCAUCGUAAGAUGUGAGGAAGGUGGGGAUGACGUCAAAUCAGCACGGCCCUUACGUCCGGGGCUACACACGUGUUACAAUGGGGGGUACAGAGGGCUGCUACCACGCAAGUGGAUGCCAAUCCCAAAAACCUCUCUCAGUUCGGAUUGAAGUCUGCAACCCGACUUCAUGAAGCUGGAUUCGCUAGUAAUCGCGCAUCAGCCACGGCGCGGUGAAUACGUUCCCGGGCCUUGUACACACCGCCCGUCAAGCCAUGGGAGCCGGGGGUACCUGAAGUGCGUAACCGCAAGGAGCGCCCUAGGGUAAAACUGGUGACUGGGGCUAAGUCAUAACA